rnacentral:tRNA from 4 species
CCGAUGUAGUUCAAUGGUAGAACUCCUGCUUCCCAAGCAGGUGGCGCGGGUUCGAUUCCCGUCAUCGG